ensembl:snRNA U6 U6 spliceosomal RNA
GUGCUCACUUUGGUGGCACAUGUACCAAAAUUGAAAUGACACAGAGAACAUUAGCACAAUCCCUGCACAAGGAUGACACGUAAGUUUGUGAAGUGUUUUAAAAAAAA